rnacentral:rRNA from 1 species
CCUACGGUGGGCAGCAGUGAGGAAUAUUGGUCAAUGGGCGCGAGCCUGAACCAGCCAAGUCGCGUGAGGGAUGAAGGUUCUAUGGAUCGUAAACCUCUUUUAUAAGGGAAUAAAGUGUGGGACGUGUCCUAUUUUGUAUGUACCUUAUGAAUAAGGAUCGGCUAACUCCGUGCCAGCAGCCGCGGUAAUACGGAGGAUCCGAGCGUUAUCCGGAUUUAUUGGGUUUAAAGGGUGCGUAGGCGGCCCUUUAAGUCAGCGGUGAAAGUCUGUGGCUCAACCAUAGAAUUGCCGUUGAAACUGGGGGGCUUGAGUAUGUUUGAGGCAGGCGGAAUGCGUGGUGUAGCGGUGAAAUGCUUAGAUAUCACGAAGAACCCCGAUUGCGAAGGCAGCCUGCCGCAGCGUUACUGACGCUGAAGCUCGAAAGCGCGGGUAUCGAACAGGAUUAGAUACCCGUGUAGUC